CAAUCCUACAAUCACAACGCAUGACAUACGCAGAAUUGGAGUGGAGGGGGGUCCCUCCUGCCCAGGGUCAGCUUUGCUGUAUGUUCAUGUCGUUCCGAAUAAAUCCUCUCUGUGAUACUUCUAUAGUUGCUUCCAUGCGUGCGCUCUCUGAGAUUACGCAUGGGACUACAAUAUAACAUCGUGUUCUGUUGUUCCCGUCUGAGUGGUAACUCACAAUAUAACAAGUUAAAACUUUCAACAACGGAUCUCUUGGUUCUCGCAUCGAUGAAGAACGCAGCGAAAUGCGAUAAGUAGUGUGAAUUGCAGAAUUCAGUGAAUCAUCGAAUCUUUGAACGCACAUUGCGCCUUCUGGUAUUCCGGGAGGCAUGCCUGUUCGAGCGUCAUGAAAAGCAUCCUCAAGCAUUUUGGCUUGGUUGUGGGAGAAGAUGGUUUCCAUCUCUCCUGGAAAGUCUCAGCAGAAGGCCUUGCAACCUCCGGUGUGAUAAAACCUAUUCACCUGAUGGCUACAAAGUCGUCCCGCUGUAUAGAAGCUCCCCCAGCAUUUUUACAUGUUGACCUCG
rnacentral:rRNA from 1 species